GAGUGAUAUGAUGGCACACCAUCUUUCGGGACUGACUCUUGCAAUGGAGAGCCUAUAACCUUCACUGAUCACUU
rnacentral:snoRNA from 13 species